rnacentral:rRNA from 1 species
CCGUUGCCGGCGACCGGCGCACGGGUGAGUAACACGUAUGCAACCUGCCCGUGGCAGGGGGAUAAGCGGGGGAAACCCCGUCUAAUACCGCGUAACGCGGCCUGGGCAUCCCAAGGCCGCCAAAGGGAGCAAUCCCGGCCACGGAUGGGCAUGCGGCGCAUUAGCUAGUCGGCGGGGUAACGGCCCACCGAGGCGACGAUGCGUAGGGGUUCUGAGAGGAAGGCCCCCCACACUGGUACUGAGACACGGACCAGACUCCUACGGAAGGCAGCAG